rnacentral:rRNA from 1 species
AGCGAACGCUGGCGGCAGGCUUAACACAUGCAAGUCGAACGGACCCUUCGGGGUUAGUGGCGGACGGGUGAGUAACACGUGGGAAUGUGCCUUUAGGUUCGGAACAACACAGGGAAACUUGUGCUAAUACCGAAUGUGCCCUUCGGGGAAAGGAUUUAUUGCCUUUAGAGCAGCCCGCGUCUGAUUAGCUUGUUGGUGAGGUAAAGGACUCACCAAGGCGACGAUCAGUAGCUGGUCUGAGAGGAUGGCCAGCCACAUUGGGACUGAGACACGGCCCAAACUCCUACGGGAGGCAGCAGUGGGGAAUUUUCCACAAUGGGGGCGAACCCUGAUGGAGCAACGCCGCGUGCAGGAUGAAGGCCUUAGGGUUGUAAACUGCUUUUAUGUGUGACGAUUAUGACGGUAACAUAUGAAUAAGGAUCGGCUAACUCCGUGCCAGCAGCCGCCGUAAC